rnacentral:rRNA from 1 species
UGCCAGCCGCCGCGGUAAUACGGGGGGUGCAAGCGUUGUUCGGAAUUAUUGGGCGUAAAGGGCGCGUAGGCGGGUUCUUAAGUCUGAUGUGAAAUCCCUCGGCUCAACCGAGGACGUGCAUUGGAUACUGGGAACCUUGAGAUCGAGAGAGGUGAGUGGAAUUCCAAGUGUAGAGGUGAAAUUCGUAGAUAUUUGGAGGAACACCAGUGGCGAAGGCGGCUCACUGGCUCGAUACUGACGCUGAGGUACGAAAGUGUGGGGAGCAAACAGGAUUAGAUA